rnacentral:rRNA from 1 species
CAGCAGCCACGGGAAUACGUAGGGCGCAAGCGUUAUCCGGAAUUAUUGGGCGUAAAGAGCUCGUAGGCGGUUUGUCGCGUCUGCCGUGAAGGUCCGGGGCUCAACCCCGGAUCUGCGGUGGGUACGGGCAGACUAGAGUGAUGUAGGGGAGACUGGAAUUCCUGGUGUAGCGGUGAAAUGCGCAGAUAUCAGGAGGAACACCGAUGGCGAAGGCAGGUCUCUGGGCAUUAACUGACGCUGAGGAGCGAAAGCAUGGGGAGCGAACAGGAUUAGAUACCCCUGUAGUCCCUGUCUCUUAUAC